CUUCGGUGGGGAUUAGUGGCGAACGGGUGAGUAACACGUGGGCAAUCUGCCCUGCACUCUGGGACAAGCCCUGGAAACGGGGUCUAAUACCGGAUACUGAGCCUCGCAGGCAUCUGUGAGGUUCGAAAGCUCCGGCGGUGCAGGAUGAGCCCGCGGCCUAUCAGCUUGUUGGUGAGGUAAUGGCUCACCAAGGCGACGACGGGUAGCCGGCCUGAGAGGGCGACCGGCCACACUGGGACUGAGACACGGCCCAGACUCCUACGGGAGGCAGCAGUGGGGAAUAUUGCACAAUGGGCGAAAGCCUGAUGCAGCGACGCCGCGUGAGGGAUGACGGCCUUCGGGUUGUAAACCUCUUUCAGCAGGGAAGAAGCGAAAGUGACGGUACCUGCAGAAGAAGCGCCGGCUAACUACGUGCCAGCAGCCGCGGUAAUACGUAGGGCGCAAGCGUUGUCCGGAAUUAUUGGGCGUAAGAUAAAGAAUACGCGACUUGUCACGUCGGUUGUGAAAGCCCGGGGCUUAACCCCGGGUCUGCAGUCGAUACGGGCAGGCUAGAGUUCGGUAGGGGAGAUCGGAAUUCCUGGUGUAGCGGUGAAAUGCGCAGAUAUCAGGAGGAACACCGGUGGCGAAAGGCGGA
rnacentral:rRNA from 1 species